GUUUCAGAUGAUGUUUGUUUUUAAUUCAACUUGACCAAUAUAAUGUCAUAUUUCCCUAUGUCGCCUUUGGAAUCACAGAAAGCUCAAUGGUUGCAGCACACGAGAGGAAAUGGACGGGCCUCCGAUGAAGGCGCCAUGAUUCGUCGCCAUGGACUUGCGACAGGAUCCGAUGUUCGUGCCACCCUUAGUGUUUCAGACACUUCUGAUAAUCGCUGACAUAUCAAAGAAUAUACCACAAAGCUCCGGGUUAUUAACGCAUCUAAAACAAGCACAACAACAGCAGCAGGUGUGCCUGCAAAGUGCAAAGAAGGCUGUAACAGUUACCUCCCUUGAACGUUUGCUAUUUCGUCUGCAAUUGGUCGUGUCGGUUUGUUUUGUUUGCAGCUUAACAACAUAUUUAGUACAGUCAUGUGUGUACGUUGUAUAUCAAGACGCUUCGAGUAGUAUUUCGUUUGAAUGAAAUAUUAAUUCAUAUUGGAAGUAGUGUAUGUAUAUAUCUGGUACCACAUGGAACAUUUUAACACUUGCUGCCAGUUUCCUUUCCACUAAAUCUAAAGACAAAUGGUAUCAUAAAAGAUUUAGUAAUCUGCACUCACUAAUUAUAUUAUUAUGUUAUUUAUACCGAAUAAAACCAAUUCUAUAUAUUUUAGCAGUUAGUGUUGACGUUUAAGAAAAGUCUGAAUCAAAAUUUAUAAAAUUGUUUUUUGAAACGUUCGUAAAAUAAUUCAAACUACUCCACAAUCUCCACACUCAUGACCCGUUGUUCAAAACUAUUUAACACGCUCCACGAGAAACGUAGCACCUGAACAAAGGUAUAUUGUCUAUGCAGUGUUACA